AUGAUCUCAACUCCAAUAACCCUAACCCCAUCAUCAGCUACGACGGCGUCAACAAGAACAUCGCGUCUGUGGGCUUCCACGAAGACGGCCGCUGGAUGUACACGGGCGGCGAGGACUGCACAGCCAGGAUCUGGGACCUCAGGUCCCGGAACCUGCAGUGCCAGCGGAUCUUCCAGGUGAACGCACCCAUUAACUGCGUGUGCCUGCACCCCAACCAGGCAGAGCUCAUCGUGGGUGACCAGAGCGGGGCUAUCCACAUCUGGGACUUGAAAACAGACCACAACGAGCAGCUGAUCCCUGAGCCCGAGGUCUCCAUCACGUCCGCCCACAUCGAUCCCGACGCCAGCUACAUGGCAGCUGUCAAUAGCACUGUGAGUCCUGGUGGCAGGUGCUGGGUGCGGGCAGCUUGGCACUCAGCCCUCAGCCUCUGCAGGUGGGCUUAUUCCUGGAUGUCCCUUAGCGGCCCCCUCCUGCUUCCCCCAUCCCGGGCACUAACACCCACCUUGCCAGCAAAGCCAGAAGCCUGAGUGUCGCUCCCGAUGGCUUAGUCCUGUCUGCAGGUCGGUCACUCCG
rnacentral:sRNA from 1 species